UUAAGUCUUUAGGAUUUAGAGUAG
rnacentral:piRNA from 1 species